AACCCUAACCCUAAGAUGGUCGAGUGAGACUGGUGGCCGAAGCCGGUGGAAUCGCCGGAGGAGGAGGAGCGACUUUAAGUAUAACGGGAACACGGUCUUAAAAGCCGGUGAAUACUUUAUGGUACUGCCGCCCUCGACACGCAGGUCGUCAACCUGGAACCCGGCAAUCCCACUCUCUACAGGUCAAAAACUUUGGGAGUUUCCAUUCAGAACAUAGUUCAAGGACUCUACAUUCUGGGUGUUCCCAGUGCGGAUAAUUAAUAUCUUCCAAGUAAGGUUAUUUGAUCUCCUCCUUUGAGUUGAGUUGACUCCUCUUUCAAUGUUCACUGGAACCAGCACUGCAACCAUGCCUCACUAUUUUGAUAGGCAGAUGCAAGAAGCUUGUUUGAAAUAGCUUUGUUCAUCUUCUCAAUAGCUCAGUUCAAACUUCCAUGCAUUGGCAAGCACUUGA